GAUGAACGCUGGCGGCGUGCCUAACACAUGCAAGUCGAGCGAUCUUCUUCGGAAGAGAGCGGCGGACGGGUGAGUAACGCGGGGGUAACCUGCCUCAUACACAUGGAUAACAUACCGAAAGGUAUGCUACUGCAAGAUGAUAUAAGAGAAUCGCAUGGACUUCUUAUCAAAGCUCCGGCGGUAUAAGAUGGACCCGCGUCUGAUUAGCUAGUUGGUAAGGUAACGGCUUACCAAGGCGACGAUCAGUAGCCGACCUGAGAGGGUGAUCGGCCACAUUGGAACUGAGACACGGUCCAAACUCCUACGGGAGGCAGCAGUGGGGAAUAUUGCACAAUGGGCGAAAGCCUGAUGCAGCAACGCCGCGUGAGCGAUGAAGGCCUUCGGGUCGUAAAGCUCUGUCCUCAAGGAAGAUAAUGACGGUACUUGAGGAGGAAGCCCCGGCUAACUACGUGCCAGCCGCCGCCGUAAGAC
rnacentral:rRNA from 1 species